GACGUAGGGCGCGAGCGUUUGUCCGGAUUUAUUGGGCGUAAAGAGCUCGUAGGCUGUUCGGUAAGUCGGGUGUUAAACCCUCAGGCUCAACCGUGGGGCCCCACCCGAUACUGCUGUGACUAGAGUCCGGUAGGGGAGCGUGGAAUUCCUGGUGUAGCGGUGAAAUGCGCAGAUAUCAGGAGGAACACCAGCGGCGAAGGCGGCGCUCUGGGCCGGAACUGACGCUGAGGAGCGAAAGCGUGGGUAGCAAACAGG
rnacentral:rRNA from 1 species